rnacentral:rRNA from 1 species
CGUAAACAGAGGGAAGCGAGCCUGCGAGGGGGAGCGAAUCCCAAAAAUAACGUCCCAGUUCGGAUUGUAGUCUGCAACCCGACUACAUGAAGCUGGAAUCGCUAGUAAUCGCGGAUCAGAAUGCCGCGGUGAAUACGUUCCCGGGUCUUGUACACACCGCCCGUCACACCAUGGGAGUCGGAAAUGCCCGAAGUCGGUGACCUAACUGAAAGGAAGGAGCCGCCGAAGGCAGGUCUGGUGACUGGGGUGAAGUCGUAACAAGGUACC